AUGCUUUCACGAUACUCUCUCUAAAGCUUUAAUUGAGUUAUCUUAGUGGUAAGUGCUCGAUAUCUGAGGAAGGCGGCUGUUGUUUUGGAAAGAGUUGCACGUAUGUUUUCCAAUCCUCGGGAAUUAUACACGCUUCCACUACUUUAAAUUUUUUCGUCCGUGCAUUCACAAAGAUAAUCUUGUAAAAUUUAACUUACAUACGUAAGUCGAGUCAAUUUUGCAGAUCCAUGACUUCAAGACGUCAAAAGAACGCAAUUAAAUGGUGCGAUUGAUGAAUGAUUCCAUUUAGGACUAAACACGGAUCUGCCCGAUUUCAUAACGAGAAUACUAAUCAAAGAAUGAAUUUUCUUACUUCAUUUUUAGAUUCCAUUGACACAAAGAAUGUAUGUCUAGAAGCUUAAAAAGAUUAUGUAAAAACGGUGCGCAUACUCAUACUAAUAAUAUAUUGCCCUAGCACGUCCCACCGCUCACUUGCACUUUGAAAGGGGCGUAAUUGGAUUUGAUUCCGUAUUGUGAGAACUUAAUGUUUAGAUGAGAAGGCGGUGAAGCCUGUACAAGGAUAUUAAUUGUUUACAUUACGAAUACACACAACAGAAACUAGCUGUAUAGUAGUCAUUACCAGUGGGUUUGGUCAGGCUGUUGGUAAUGUAUUUAAUAUUUCUGUAAAUUUUGUCUGCUGGGUGACCUACAUAACCUAAAGGGUCCGUUAUUCAGUUCAAAGAGUAAUCAAAUUGUUAAAAAAUGUACGCAUCUAUGUCUAAUGCGGUAAGAGCAGUCCAAACUGCGCAGUCGUAACUUUUAAACUGAAGCGAACCGCAAUAUAGCGAGAGGUGCUAAAAAGAUUUGCCGUUCUGAUUAAAUAAUUCCUAUCAAUUAUUGCUCUUCUUUCUGGGAUUUCUCAUUCACAAAAGAGAGACAUCAUUUAAGUUGUAAGAAAGGAUUAUCAUUAGGGUACCGUUCCCUCAUAAUUGGAUCAAUUAUAGUAAGGAUUGAUUUGACUCAAACACUUUUUCACGUUUCUUGCUAUUCAUACGUACCGAUCAAUUGCGCAUGUAAAACGAACCGUAUGUAGAGUUCUUUUCAGUACGUUUCCAUUUCGCUUGAAUAAUUUAAUAUCAAUAUGUUUCAGUACUAAGAUAAAAGAGAAAUUGUAUGGGUGUUAUGGAGAAAACAUUAUCCUGGAGACGAAAGAAGAUAUGCGGAAUCCAAUUUAGCGUUACGUAAAAUGUGUUUUUCUUUUUACGAUGGGCCUUAGAUGCGUGGAGCUUGAAUUACAUUAUCAACUUUAAAGGACUCUUAUAUAUAAAAUAUAAUACGUACCGGAACGGAUCACGACUUGAACACAGCCUUCAUGAUUUGAUUUUAUUGGAUUUCAUGCAGCCGUUCGUUUGUCACGUAUACCAUCCUUGUCAAUCUUCUAAGAUUUCUAGAGCGAUUUAUCCGCACAGGGAAUUAAGGAUGACGCUCUUUGAAUUUAUCUUUUUGAUGUCGAGUUAAUAAAAUGUAUGCUUUCCCAUU